UCCAUUCCUCGCCACACGCUUCGAAUCCUCGGCACAUCUCGUAGCAUCACUAUCUAUAGCCCCACCUGGACUUUUUUCACCUUCAUUCCCGGAUAACUGUCGGUCCCCUCCGUCUUCAGCUUCCUGUCUGCCUAACUUGCCCCGUUUGUUGUAUUUUCCCCCAUGGUUUUAGGUGCAGGACUUGAUAUUGCAGAGAAGAAUGAGCCCCAGGGAUAAAAAGCAAGACAGAACUUGAUCACCUCCAUGUCACUGUGACUGCUCAUGGACACAAUGUGCUCUGUAAAAAGUAUUUAUUGUUGCUUUUAGCAUUUUAGAUUUCUUUCUUUUUUUCUGAACGCUUAAUUUAGUUCAUUUUACUUAUGAAGGCCUAUUUGUUUAUUCUGUUACAGCUUAUUUAUUGUGCUGCUAUAAAUGCUGUGCUUCUAGUUGUUACAUCAGUGACAAUAAAGAACCUUUGAACUUUGAAACUGCAGAGAGUAAAUCACCACAUGUUAGAACAUUGAAUAAAUCUUGAGCACAGUUGAGAA